rnacentral:rRNA from 1 species
CCCUUAGAUGCUCUGGGCCGCACGCGCGCUACACUGGUCGAUGCAACGAGUUUCUUUCCUUGGCCGACAGGCCUGGGCAAUCUUUGAACAUCGAUCGUGAUCGGGAUAGAUUCUUGUAAUUUUUGAUCUUAAACGAGGAAUUCCUAGUAAACGCAAGUCAUCAGCUUGCAUUGAUUACGUCCCUGCCCUUUGUACACACCGCCCGUCGCACCUACCGAUUGAAUGGUCCGGUGAAAUCUCCGGACUGGCGUGAGUCGGAGCAAUCUGACAAACACCGGAAAGUUGAUUAAACCUUACCAUUUAGAGGAAGGUGAAGUCGUAGCA